rfam:Strongyloides stercoralis strain PV0001 genome assembly, scaffold: SSTP_scaffold0000023
UCUCUGGUAGUAUAGUGGUGAGUAUCCGCGCCUGUCACGUGCGAGACCGGGGUUCGAUUCCCCGCCAGAGAG